ensembl:misc_RNA Y_RNA Y RNA
GGCUGAUCCAAGGGUAGUGAGUUAUCUCAGUUGAUUGUUCACAGUCACAGAUCGAAGUCCUUGUUCUACGCUUUCUCCCUUCCCACUACUGUACUUGACUAGUCUUUA